GGCUGUCAUUAUAGCACUUGGGAGAAACAUAACAUUGGAGAUUUCUUUUGCAUAUUUGAUUGCCAUGUCAUAAAAUGUUAACUUUGACCUUUGCUGAAGCUGAGUUAUAUAAAAAUGAGGUAGCAUAAUUCAUAGAUGAAGCCCAGUCUCUGACAUGAAGAAUUCAACCUUUCUGCUUCACAAAAUGAGGGAAGAACAUCAGAAAUCCUACACUAACAUGUAAGGAUCCGCUAAGAUCACACAGUUUUACAAAGUGAAAGGAAAGCUGCCUGAACAUACUGGGAGGACAGUCUUGGCAUUAGUCCAGCAUGGCCUUUCUUUCUCAACUUGGGCUUCUGCUGUGGAAGAACUUUACACUCCGGAAGCGACACAAGGUUCGAUUAGCAGUGGAGUUACUAUGGCCGCUCUUCCUUUUCUUUAUUCUUGUAGCAGUUCGGACAACAAACCUUCCAAUUUAUAAGGG